AACGAACGCUGGCGGCAUGCCUAACACAUGCAAGUCGAACGAGACCUUCGGGUCUAGUGGCGCACGGGUGCGUAACGCGUGGGAACCUGCCCGUAGGUUCGGAAUAACUCCCCGAAAGGGGUGCUAAUACCGGAUAAUGUCUUCGGACCAAAGAUUUAUCGCCUUUGGAUGGGCCCGGGUUGGAUUAGCUAGUUGGUAGGGUAAAAGCCUACCAAGGCGACGAUCCAUAGCUGGUCUGAGAGGAUGAUCAGCCACACUGGGACUGAGACACGGCCCAGACUCCUACGGGAGGCAGCAGUGGGGAAUAUUGGACAAUGGGCGAAAGCCUGAUCCAGCAAUGCCGCGUGAGUGAUGAAGGCCUUAGGGUUGUAAAGCUCUUUUACCCGGGAUGAUAAUGACAGUACCGGGAGAAUAAGCUCCGGCUAACUCCGUG
rnacentral:rRNA from 1 species